rnacentral:rRNA from 1 species
AUUGAACGCUGGCGGCAGGCCUAACACAUGCAAGUCGAACGGUAACAGGAAACAGCUUGCUGUUUCGCUGACGAGUGUCGGACGGGUGAGUGAUGUCUGUGAAACUGUCUGAUUGAGUGGGGGAACUACUGGAAACGGUAGCUAAUACCGCAUAACGUCGCAAGACCAAAGAGGGGGACCUUUGCGCCUCUUGCGAUCGGAAGUGCCCCGAUGUGGGUUUAGAGAGUGGGGGGGGUAAGGGCUCACCAAGGCGACGACCCCUAGCUGGUCUGAGAGGAUGACCAGCCACACUGGAACUGAGACACGGUCCAGACUCCUACGGGAGGCAGCAGUGGGGAAUAUUGCACAAAGGGCGCAAGCCUGAUGCAGCCAUGCCGCGUGUAUGAAGAAGGCCUUCGGGUUGUAAAGUACUUUCAGCGGGGAGGAAGGGAGUAAAGUUAAUACCUUUGCUCAUUGACGUAACCCGCAGAAGAAGCACCGGCUAACUCCGUG